rnacentral:rRNA from 1 species
CCUACGGGAGGCAGCAGGCGCGAAACCUCCGCAAUGUGAGAAAUCGCGACGGGGGGAUCCCAAGUGCCAUUCUUAACGGGAUGGCUUUUCAUUAGUGUAAAGAGCUUUUGGAAUAAGAGCUGGGCAAGACCGGUGCCAGCCGCCGCGGUAACACCGGCAGCUCUAGUGGUAGCAGUUUUUAUUGGGCCUAAAGCGUCCGUAGCCGGUUUAUUAAGUCUCUGGUGAAAUCCUGUAGCUUAACUGUGGGAAUUGCUGGAGAUACUAGUAGACUUGAGAUCGGGAGAGGUUAGAGGUACUCCCAGGGUAGAGGUGAAAUUUUGUAAUCCUGGGAGGACCGCCUGUGGCGAAGGCGUCUAGCUGGAACGAUUCUGACGGUGAGGGACGAAAGCUAGGGGCGCGAACCGGAUUAGAUACCCUUGUAGUC